GGGAGGAUGCAGCUCAGCGGUAGAGCGCAUGCUUCGUAGGCAUGAGGUCCUGGGUUCAAUCCCCAGUACCUCCA